rfam:Rattus norvegicus chromosome 15, whole genome shotgun sequence.
AAAUGUAUGUAGGGCUUUAGUCAAGGUUCACUGAUCACUCAGGACCCUUCAUUGCCGGCUAGGUGAGUGCCCCCUUCCUCCCUCACUGUUCCAUGGGCAUCCCUCCUGAAGCUGCAGGCUCAGUUGAAGAGGACAACCUUUCAGAAUAGAGGAGGACCAGUCUUUGGUCAAGGGUAUACGAGGAGCUGUGCUCCCCUGCUAGAAGCUCCAAACAGGCUCUCAGUUAAUGUUCUGUUGAUUGGGAUUUUUCUACUAUAUAAAUACUUUGAAAAUUCUCCUAUCUUAUAAA